CUCGUUUAAACCGCAGUUAAACCGC
rnacentral:siRNA from 1 species